ensembl:lncRNA
AGCAAUUCCAAAAACCUGGUUCCAGCCCUCCCUACCGUCAACUGAAGGGCUGGCUGCCACCAGGGAAGGUCUUUACUUGGAGAUCCCUCCUUUUGGAGUAUUUGGUGAGCCCCAAGCCUUGGAACGGGGCAAGCAAAUCUUUCUUGAGCUGGAUGGUGACCAGCAGCCUUUUUUGGGUGAUUCAGAACUGGUUCUCUGCCAUCGCCUUUCCUGACAGGUGUCUGCAGGAGGUGCUUCCCAGGCCACAGUAAGUGUGCUGUACAAAUGUCAGUGUGCCAGUCCUGUGUGCUCGCUGUGACGCGCUGCCUUGCAGUGGGACAUCUCUCCAGGGGAAAGCCCAGUGUGAUCCUUCCCUGCCAUACCAAGAGAACUGCAAUCCCUCGUCUCCUCAGCCUUUGUGCCCACUUACAUUGUUUGCUUUGAAUGUCUGGAGCCAUCUUGAAACUGAAUCCCUACAAACUGUUCAGAAUGGAAGUGCUGCUCAUUCCAAGACACAAGUAUGUGAUUGUCUUUAAAGCUGGAAAGAAUAAUUUCCUGUGGGUUUGAUAUUCAUUAAUGCCUAAUUUCUUUUUUUCUGAGCCAGAUGGAUUUGGUUUGUGAUGAUUUGAAGCUCUCUGGUGUAAAAGAGAAUGAAAAAUUAAUAUAAAAA